rnacentral:rRNA from 1 species
GACGAACGCUGGCGGCGUGCUUAACACAUGCAAGUCGAACGGAAAGGCCCUGCUUUUGUGGGGUGCUCGAGUGGCGCACGGGUGAGUAACACGUGAGUAACCUGCCCUUGACUUUGGGAUAACUUCAGGAAACUGGGGCUAAUACCGGAUAGGAGCUCCUGCUGCAUGGUGGGGGUUGGAAAGUUUCGGCGGUUGGGGCUGGACUCGCGGCUUAUGAGCUUGUUGGGGGGGUAGUGGCUUACCAAGGCUUUGACGGGUAGCCGGCCUGAGAGGGUGACCGGCCACAUUGGGACUGCGAUACGGCCCAGACUCCAACGGUAGGCAGCAGUGGGGAAUAUUGCACAAUGGGCGGGAGCCUGAUGCAGCAACGCCGCGUGCGGGAUGACGGCCUUCGGGUUGUAAACCGCUGUCGCCUGUGACGAAGCGUGAGUGACGGUAAUGGGUAAAGAAGCACCGGCUAACUACGUG